rnacentral:rRNA from 1 species
GACGAACGCUGGCGGCGUGCUUAACACAUGCAAGUCGAGCGGUAAGGCCCUUUCGGGGGUACACGAGCGGCGAACGGGUGAGUAACACGUGGGUGACCUGCCUUCAGCUCUGGGAUAAGCCUGGGAAACCGGGUCUAAUACCGGAUAUGACUCCAUGACGCAUGUUGUGGGGUGGAAAGCCUUGUGCGGCUGAGGAUGGGCCCGCGGCCUAUCAGCUUGUUGGUGGGGUGAUGGCCUACCAAGGCGACGACGGGUAGCCGGCCUGAGAGGGCGACCGGCCGCACUGGGACUGAGACACGGCCCAGACUCCUACGGGAGGCAGCAGUGGGGAAUCUUGCGCAAUGGGCGAAAGCCUGACGCAGCGACGCCGCGUGAGGGAUGACGGCCU